CAACAGGGGAGCCAUUAGAGAGAGGCCGGAGAGAACUUAUGAUGCUGCUUUUCAGGUGUCUCAUUCAGUAGCAGCAGAGAACAAGAAAAUCCAACAAGGAAACAGCGUAGUACACGUUAACAGCUUUAAUUGGAGACCGGUUCUGCCUUUUUUUUUUUUUCCAAAGCAGCGAGAGGAAAAGAUCCUUUGACCGAGUCACGUGAUCUCAUCACGUGACUUGCAGUGACCACGGAAAGGGAAGGAGGGGAAAAAAAGGGCAAACAUUCCUGCUGCCAGCGUUUGGGGAUAUAGUAAAUGAUUAAAUGGAUUCUACUGCUGCCGCCUCGAAUCUGACGAUCUUUCAGACUUCCUCCUGAACUACUAACUUAAAAGCUCAUUAAAAUACACGUACAGAAAUACA